AUUGAACGCUGGCGGCAUGCCUUACACAUGCAAGUCGAACGGCACCGCGGGCCUUCGGGUGCCGGCGAGUGGCGAACGGGUGAGUAAUGCAUCGGAACGUGCCAUUGAGUGGGGGGAUAACGUAGCGAAAGUUGCGCUAAUACCGCAUAUUCUGUGAGCAGGAAAGCAGGGGACCGCAAGGCCUUGCGCUCUUUGAGCGGCCGAUGUCAGAUUAGCUAGUUGGUGAGGUAAAGGCUUACCAAGGCGACGAUCUGUAGCGGGUCUGAGAGGAUGAUCCGCCACACUGGAACUGAGACACGGUCCAGACUCCUACGGGAGGCAGCAGUGGGGAAUUUUGGACAAUGGGGGCAACCCUGAUCCAGCCAUGCCGCGUGAGUGAAGAAGGCCUCGGUUGUAAG
rnacentral:rRNA from 1 species